GAUGAACGCUGGCGGCGUGCCUAAUACAUGCAAGUCGAGCGAACAGACGAGGAGCUUGCUCCUCUGACGUUAGCGGCGGACGGGUGAGUAACACGUGGAUAAACUACCUAUAAGACUGGGAUAACUUCGGGAAACCGGAGCUAAUACCGGAUAAUAUAUUGAACCGCAUGGUUCAAUAGUGAAAGACGGUUUUGCUGUCACUUAUAGAUGGAUCCGCGCCGCAUUAGCUAGUUGGUAAGGUAACGGCUUACCAAGGCAACGAUGCGUAGCCGACCUGAGAGGGUGAUCGGCCACACUGGAACUGAGACACGGUCCAGACUCCUACGGGAUGCAGCAGUAGGGAAUCUUCCGCAAUGGGCGAAAGCCUGACGGAGCAACGCCGCGUGAGUGAUGAAGGUCUUCGGAUCGUAAAACUCUGUUAUUAGGGAAGAACAAAUGUGCAAGUAACUAUGCACGUCUUGACGGUACCUAAUCAGAAAGCCACGGCUAACUACGUG
rnacentral:rRNA from 1 species